rnacentral:RNase_P_RNA from 1 species
UGAGCGUUCGCUGCCUUUUUAAGGGAGAGGAAAGUCCGGGCUGCAUAGGGCAGGAUGCCUGAUAACGUCAGGUGGGAGCGAUCCUAAGGAAAGUGCAACAGAAAGUAUACCGCCGUAUCCGGACUGUCAGAGAUUGAAAAUAAACCCUGUUAUCCCGGCCUUUGUUCAGGCUCAGGGCAUUAAGCUUCAUCUCAAUGAGCAUAGGAAGAUUUUCCGUUUCUGACAGUCCGGAUACGGUAAGGGUGAAAUGGCAGUGUAAGAGACUACCGGCACUCCGGUAACGGAGGGCGCAUUGUAAACCCCAUCCGCAGCAAGUCCAUGAAGGAGUCAUAUGGCUGCCCGUCAUGCUCCGGGUAGGACGCUUGAGGCCUUUGGUGACAAAGGUCCUAGAUAGAUGAACGCUUUAAAUGACAUAACCCGGCUUACAGUGGAUCUCG